AGCUGAAGACCUACCUUAAAAUGUUCUAAAUGGUUCAGCACUAGUCUUUCUAGUCUCUUCUCAAAGGCAGGAAAUGAUGAUAUUUGGGUCUCUACUGAUAAUAUUUUAGCACAUGACAAAAAAUGGCAACAGUCUUAGAUUUGGGGAGCAUCAUUCAUGUGCAUAAUGCAGUCUGACACUCCCUUCGAUGCAAGACCUUCUUCCAGGCUUGAAUUUGUUUCUUUUCCUACACCAAGAAUAAUAACUCUCUUCUAUUGGAGCACCUAUUAGGAGAGAGCAGAGUCCCUCAGCCACUGAAGAGCAUAUCACCGUUUCUGUCACCCCCUGGGAGCGUCCUGUUACUUGACUUCUGUGGAAGAUUCAGUUUGAUCUCUCCUGGAGUCACGACUGGCAUUGAUUCAUAUUGCUGUAAUGAAAAAUUCUAAGGAGCAAAUAAAGGGGAUUUGGUCUUUGAAGCUGUGUUAUAUGCUAACUGCAGCCACACUGUGGAAGUCACACCUCCCCAGAAAAAUAUACAGACUUAGGUCAUUAGGUCAUCUUCCUGAGAUCUGACAUUCUAGGAGACGAGUCC